UACGUAGGUGGCGAGCGUUGUCCGGAAUUAUUGGGCGUAAAGAGCAUGUAGGUGGGAAUGUAAGUCUGUUGUUAAAAUGCGGGGCUCAACCCCGUAUUGCACUGGAAACUACAUUUCUUGAGUGCAGGAGAGGAAAGGGGAAUUCCCAGUGUAGCGGUGAAAUGCGUAGAUAUUGGGAGGAACACCAGUGGCGAAGGCGCCUUUCUGGACUGUGUCUGACACUGAGAUGCGAAAGCUAGGGGAGCGAACG
rnacentral:rRNA from 1 species